rnacentral:rRNA from 1 species
UUGGACCCCCGGUACACUGAGUUCUUCACGGGACACGUACUGGAGUAAGGGUGCGCGGGGCACGGUCUGCCUCC